rnacentral:lncRNA from 1 species
AAACACGGCAAAAUUGAAAAAAACACAACGAAACAACCCAUUUUCCAUUACUGUGCGUGAAAGCAGAAGACCCUCUACCUUCUUCCUGUGUAGUCGACCACCAUCGCCACCUAGAACACUAGAUUUCACAACGAUUCAAAAUUAUUGAAGUCUUUUUGCUAAAAUGAAAACUAGUUACUAUUCACAUUUGCCCAAAAACACAUAAACCAAAAACUUGUAUAAUUAACAAUGGAUCACUACAUGAUUGUUUGUCUUUUACAGUUUUUUUUUUAUUAUUAUUUUAUUUGAAUUUGGGUGAUUUUGCUUGAUUGAUCAUCGAAUUUAGCGAUUAACGUCAUUAACGUGCCGAAAAUUUUAAAAAGACUUGCUUUUAGGUCUAUCCCUUGCACCUUUUAACCCGUUUGUGUUUUACUGCUUCUGCCUCUCUUAUUAUCGAAAAUCACUUUCUGGGUUCUGUAGAUACUGUAUAAAAUCUGUUGAUUUUCUUGGUAUUUUUUCUAUUUCUUUACUUUAUUUCGUUACAUUUUAUGGUUAUUCUACUAUGACAAUGUUUAGCAUACUCUUCUUUUAUCAUUUCUUUGUUAUAUUUCGUGAUUUUUUUGCUAAAUUUGACUAGAUGGGAAGUUGAGUAAUGCAUCUAUAAUUUAUUCGAUUCUGAUAUGAAAUCUAAUGCGGGAUUAUUAGAAAAUUAUAUUUAUAUGCCCAUAUACAAAACAUCGCUUAAUCCAUAAAUAUGACUCCUAGCUCAGUAACUAUAAUUUUGUUUUUUCCUUUUUUUUUGGUUUUUUCCUUUUUUUUUUGGGUGAUCCAUAAAUCUGAUGUUUUUGAACGUGAUGAAUAGUUUAUGCUCUAAUUUUGUCAAGGUCUUUAAUGACAACCUUGGGCUUUUGAAUUUGAGAAUCGUUACUUGGUUCAGUUUUAGUUUUGUCACUUUGAGAUUUAGGGGAGGAAGCUGCACAAUUAUCGUGUACUUGUUUAGCUUUAACGAUUUUUACAAUAUAUGCUUGAGUAGAAGAAAGAGCAAGAGGUGUAUCAGUGUGGUUUGUAUUUUCAGAAAUGGCAACUUUAAAAGGACUAGUAUGUGCUUAUUGGCGAAGAAUCCAUUGAUGAAGAUAUUGAUGAAUAAUAGAACGCAUUAUCCUUAUCACCUCCAACUAUAUACUCCUGUUUAGUUAAUUAGAUUAGGUUCUAAUUUAUUUUGUAUUUAUCAUGUUCAUAGUUUAGACUUAUCUUUCACUAUAUUUUGUGUAUAAAUACACUACCAAUGUAUUCAAUAAAAUACAACGGAGAAUUUCCUUUUCAUGGUAUCAGAGCCAAACGAUUCACACCUUGUUCAUGGCUGAUUCUAUCUCUUCUCUACUUUCGCUCAGUACGAUGGUCCAUAUGAUGACCAUCGAACUCACUUCCUCCAAUUUUCCUUUGUCGCACAGUCAGUUUAUUCCCUUUUUUGAAAGCCAGGAUCUCAUGGGCUUCUUAGACGGAUCAUCCAUUGCACCUUCUCCUCUCAUUACUGAAGGAACUACCCGAGGUCCAAAUCCAGCCUACAAGAAAUGGCGUACUCAAGAGUGUAUGUUGCUCAGCCUCAUUUUUACUUCCUUGUCUGAGGAGUGUAUGGUCGAGGUUGUCAAUUGUGCUACUACACGUGAUGCUUGGUUGACUCUCGAAAAAUCUUUUUCUCACAGCUCCAAGACACGUGAAAUUCAGCUGAAAGAUGAGCUUCAAUUGCUCCAGCGUGGCUCUCGUAGUGUGGCUGACUAUGCUCGCUCUCUCUGUGACCAACUCUCUGCCAUUGGGAAGUAGUUGAUAAUACAGACAAGGUGCAUUAGUUUCUUCGUGGUCUUGGCCCUGAUUAUAAUUUUUUUCUACCACUAUGCUUUCACAAUGUCCAUUGCCUUCCUUCGCCACCAUGGUCCCGCAAGCUCUUAGCCAUGAGCUCUUCUCUCGAUCCAUCCAUGGUGAAGUCCAACAACAAUCUGCUUUCAUUGCCAGCCACGACUUCUCCAUUAUUUCUGCUGGCCGAAACAAACACACUCCUUUUCCAAAAUGGACAGCCGCAACUCUUCCAAAUCUGCUGUUGUUACUUGCCAGUGGUGUGGCAAAGAUAAUCACACAGCUAAGAAGUGUUAUAAACUUGGCAAGUUGCUGAAAAAGGCUGAAGAUGGUGGUCUCAUUGAAGCUUUUUCAGCAACCUCUCUUGAAGACUCUCACGAAACCGAGUGGUAUACGGAUACAAGGACGACAUCGCAUAUGACUAAUGAUGCAUCAACUCUAGACUCCUCCAUCCCUUACAAUGGUAAUGAGAGGGUGUUUGUUGGUAAUGGUCAUUCUUUACCUAUAUCUCGUGUUGGUUCUAUUUCGUCUAUUGUUGCUUCCCAUUCGUUACCUAUGUCUAAUGUUCUUCUUGUUCCUGGCGUUACCAAAAAUCUUAUUUCCAUCAGUAAGCUUACUCAAGAGAACAAUUGUUCGAUAACAUUUUCUUCUUCCGGCUUUGUCAUACAGGAUCUGGCAACAAGAGCGGUGAAGAGAGUCGGCUGAUGUGAGAAAGGCCUCUAUGUACUUGAUCGUGCCCAUGCAAUUUUUUUGUCUUCUAUUGCUCUUUGUAAUAAUCAUGCUACCUCCAUCAUUUGGUAUGCACGUUUAGGACAUCCUUCUAUUAGGAUUUUGUCUUCUUUACAUAAGCAUGGUGCUAUUUUAAUUUCCAAUAAGAACAAUUUUAAUAAUGAUCGUUGUUUUGGUUGUCAAUUGGGAAAGAAUCAUCAUUUACCUUUCUCUAAUUUAGUUCAAUGUUGCUCUUUUUUAUUUGAACAAAUUCACCGUGACUUGUGGGAACCGUCUUUGAUUACCUCUCCUUCGGGAUUUAAAUAUUAUUGCGUCUUGAUUGAUGAUUUCUCUCGUUUUAGUUGGAUUUUUCCUCUCAAGAUUUCUUUGAUAUGUUUGUUCGUUUUGUCACUAAUGUCAAAAAUCAAUUUGAUAGGAACAUCAAAUCAUUCCAACGUGACGGUGGAACUAAGUUACUAAUAACAAAUUCACUUCUUAUCUUCAUGAGUGUGGUAUAAUUUAACGAAUAUCCUGCCCUUACACUCCAAACCAAAAUGGCAUUACCAAGCGUAAACAUAGGCAUAUCACCAAAAUCGGACUAACCUUGCUCUUUCAUUCUAAUGUUCCUUUACAAUUGCGGAUUGAGUCUUUCUCUACAGCUUGUUAUCUUAUCAAUCGACUUCCAUCACUGGUUCUUGGUAGCAAGACACCUCAUAAAGUAUAUUGUAUGGUAAAGUUCCUUUUUAUUCUUCUCUCUGAACCUUUGGAUGUUUAUGUUUUCCUUUUCUUCGUGACUAUAUGCCUCGCAAACUCUCUCCACGAUCUCUCCCUUGUGUAUUUUUAGGCUAUAGUUCACUUCAUAAAGGUUUUUGUUGUUUAGAUACAAAAUCUAAUCGUGAUUAUAUCUCUCGUCAUGUGCAGUUUUUUGAGGAUCAUUUUCCUUACAAGAACUCCACUCUUCCUUCCCAAGUCUCCACUGAUUUUGUCACCUUUUUGGAUCCUAUUGAUCCUUCUUUAUCUUGUGAACAAAUUGAUCCUAAAUAUAUGACUUCGAAGCAUCACAAGGCAUCUUCUACGUGUCUCCCAUGUGCUGACCUUAAUUGUACUUCUCAUCCUCUUCUUGAGUCUGUGCCUCCUUCAGCAACAUCUUAUGCUCCUCCAUCCGAGCUUGUGACUGUUUCAGGUGUCAAUCCACCCACUUCUUCCUUGUCAUGACUGCCACCAACUCCACAUCCUAUGAUUACUUGUUUAAUGAAUGGUAUUGUUAAGCCUUGUACUAUUCAUUUGUUAAUUGCUUUGUCAGCUCCUCCAUGGUUUCAUGUACAUCUUACUGUUAAAGAGCCGCGGGGUUUUAAGUCAGCCUUAAAACAUCAGGAAUGGCUUACUGCAAUGGAUGAUGAAAUAACAGUUCUCAAGCAAAAUAACACCUGGUGAUUGGUAUCUCGACCUUCUAAUCAUAAUGUUGUGGGUUGUCAUUGGAUUUUUAAAACUAAACUUCGUGCAGAUGGUACUAUAGAGCACCAUAAAGCUCGUCUUGUAGCACAGGGAUUUUCUCAGAAACAUGGCAUUGACUUUGAAGAGACUUCCAGUUUGAUCAUUCAUCCUGCUACGGUUUGAAUAAUCCUUUCUCUUGCUGCUAUGCAUGAUUAGCCUCUUUAUCAGCUUGAUGUUAAAAAUGCUUUCUUGUAUGGCUAUCUUUUAGAAGAAGUUUAUAUGGAACAACCUCUAGGUUAUGUUAAUUAUCAAUUUCCUACUCAUGUAUGUCGCUUGCAACAAGCUCUUUAUGGUCUUAAACAGGAUCCAAGGGCCUGGUUCCAAAGGUUCAGCUUCUUUUUGUUUUACCUUAGCUUUGUUACUAGUCAGGCCGACUCAUCUCUAUUUGUUUAUCAUGGCUCUCACGGUGUCAUCUAUUUGCUGUUAUAUGUCGACGAUAAGGUGAUUACUGGUAGUAAUGCUAAAAUGAUUCAUAACCUUAUUAAUCGACUUCCUACAGAAUUUUCUAUGAAGGAUUCAGGUAAUCUCCAUUAUUUUAUGGGCAUUGUGCUAAUUCAAAAUGACAAAGGGAUUUUUCUUAGCCAAUCUAAGUAUGCCUUGGACCUUCUGGAUCGUGCUGCUAUGAGAGAUUGCAAGCCUAUUUCCACCCCCUUUUUGGUUGGUUCUAAUCUUACUGAAUCUGGUGAGCCUCAUGCUGAUUCUUCACAGUUUUGGUCUCUUGCUGGAGCUUUUCAAUGUUUGACACUUACCCGCCCAGAUUUAUCUUACAGCGUUAACUCCAUUUGUCAAUAUAUGCACGCUCCUAUUACAGAUCAUUUUCAUGCCUUGAAACGUAUUCUCAGAUAUGUUAUAGACACCUAUCACUUUGGCCUUCAAUUGUCAAGAAACUCUUUUUCUAUGUUACUUGGUUAUUCUGAUGUAGAUUGGGCAAGAUGUCCAGACACUAGGCAUUCUACUACAGGUUUUGCGGUCUAUUAUGGCUCGAAUCUCAUCUCUUGGUGUUCCAAGAAAUAGACCUCUGUUUCUCAUUUCAGUACUGAGGCAGAAUAUCGAGCACUUGCUGUUCUAGCUGCCGAUCUUUCAUGGAUACUUCAGCUUUUUCGUGAGCUACAUAUCAAGCUAUCCUUGCCUCCAUCUAUGUUAUGUGAUAAUAAGAGUGCAAUGUUUAUUUCCUCCAACCCGGCCACCAAGUCCCGCUCCAAGCAGAUUGCCAUUGAUUAUCACUUCAUUAGGGAACUUGUGGCACAGCGGGAUCUCCACCUGAGUUUUGUACCCUCUUCGCUUCAACUUGCUGAUAUUUUUACAAAUGGGGUUGCAAAACUUCAAUUUUUCUUAGUUCGAUAAAAGUUGUGCAUUUUUCCUCAUUCAACCACACUGCCUUUGAAGGGGGUAUUGGCGGAGAAUCCAUUGAUGAAAAUAUUGAUGAAUAAUAGAAAGCAUUAUCCUUAUCCCCUCCGACUAUAUACUCCUGUUUAGUUAACUAGAUUAGGUUUUAAUUUAUUUAGACUUAUCUUUACUGUAUUUUGUGUAUAAACA